UCUGAGCCGUGCAAGGAGUGGGAAGAAAGCCCCUCCUCGGGCUUUUGAACCUGGCUCCCCCCCACCCAAGUGCCCUCACCUCUACACUCCCCGCCCAGAAACACACACGCCCUUUGUGGCAGGGUGUUCUGGAAGCAGCCCUAAUGUCCCCCAACAGAGAGCUGGUGAAAUGCAUCACGGAGCCACCAUAGCCUGACAGCUGAGCAACAAAAAUCAAGUUGAAGCCUCAGUGCAAGAGGAUCCUGCUACUAAGCUUUGUUUCAAGCACGUGAGGGUGUGGGAGGAUCACACAGGAGAUGGAGAACAGGGCAAGAGCUAGAGGAACCCAACAUCAGAGAGACAUGGGAGAGAGAUACCCAGGAGGACUUCCAGGAGGAGGAGGAAGGUGAGCUGGAUCUCAGCAUGUAAGUAGAAGGGAGAGACCUGAAGCAGAGGGAGGGCAACCCAAGCCCUGGUGCAUGCUGGGAAGCGAGGAGGUGUGUGCCACAGGGCGAGAGAGAGAGCCUGGAGCAGGAGGGCCGCAGAGUGA